CCUACGGGUGGCAGCAGUGAGGAAUAUUGGUCAAUGGACGAGAGUCUGAACCAGCCAAGUAGCGUGAAGGAUGACUGCCCUACGGGUUGUAAACUUCUUUUAUAAGGGAAUAAAAUGUGCCACGUGUGGGAUUUUGUAUGUACCAUAUGAAUAAGGAUCGGCUAACUCCGUGCCAGCAGCCGCGGUAAUACGGAGGAUCCGAGCGUUAUCCGGAUUUAUUGGGUUUAAAGGGAGCGUAGGUGGAUUGUUAAGUCAGUUGUGAAAGUUUGCGGCUCAACCGUAAAAUUGCAGUUGAAACUGGCAGUCUUGAGUACAGUUGAGGUAGGCGGAAUUCGUGGUGUAGCGGUGAAAUGCUUAGAUAUCACGAAGAACUCCGAUUGCGAAGGCAGUUCACUACACUGCAACUGACACUGAUGCUCGAAAGUGUGGGUAUCAAACAGGAUUAGAUACCCCUGUAGUC
rnacentral:rRNA from 1 species